rnacentral:tRNA from 1 species
UAGAAAGUGGUGUAGUGGAAGCACUAGGAGUUUUGAUCUCCUGAGCAUGGGUUCGACCCCCUUUUUUCUAA